ACGGAGGGGGCUAGCGUUGUUCGGAAUUACUGGGCGUAAAGCGCACGUAGGCGGCUUUGCAAGUCAGAGGUGAAAGCCCGGGGCUCAACCCCGGAAUUGCCUUUGAGACUGCAUCGCUAGAAUUGUGGAGAGGUAAGUGGAAUUCCGAGCGUAGAGGUGAAAUGCGUAGAUAUCGGGAGGAACACCUAAGGCGAAGGCGGGCUACUGGGCCGAUACUGACGCUGAUGCGCGAAAGCCAGAGGAGCAAACGGGA
rnacentral:rRNA from 1 species